rnacentral:rRNA from 1 species
GUUAGGAAUAUUGGACAAUGGGCGCAUGCCUGAUCCAGCCAUGCCGCGUGAGUGAUGAAGGCCUUCGGGUUGUAAAGCUCUUUAGUCCACGAAUAUAAUGACUGUAGUGGACGAAUAAGCCCCGGCUAACUUCGUGCCAGCAGCCGCGGUAAUACGAAGGGGGCGAGCGUUAUUCGGAAUCACUGGGCGUAAAGCGUGCGUAGGCUGUUUUGUAAGUCAGAAGUGAAAGCCCAGGUCUUAACCCUGGAAUUGCUUUUGAAACUACAAGACUCGAGUUCUGGAGAGGAUAGCGGAAUUGUCAGUGUAGCAGUGAAAUGCGUAGAUAUUGACAGGAACACCAGUGGCGCAAGCGGCUAUCUGGACCGAUAUUGACGCUGAGGCACGAAAGCGUGGGGAGCAAACAGGAUUAGAUACCCCAGUAGUCC